UUUUAGGGUUUGGAGAUUAACCAAGCAACCUCGCCUCGGUUCCAUCGAAUCUUCAGUCCUCAUUUCCUCAGUUCCUCACAAUCUCACAUUAUCACUGCGACUGAAGCCACCCCUCACACCGCCUCAGGCCCUCAACCCUGACGACACUUCCCGAGUCCCUUCUCUUCUAUCUUCCCCAUCUUCGAUAUCCUCUUCGUGGGACUGAGCAGCCUUCCAUCUUUCAAUCUUUGAAAGGUGAGGGAGAGAGUUAGGUGAGGAAAGAGAGAAGCUUUACUGCAACAUUUGGUGGAAACAGACUGGGGAAGACGAAGACUGACGCCGGAAGCAGCGAACGAGGUGGUCGACGAGGCCAUCGCCAGAGCUCAUAGCGUUAACGGCGAAGUGGGUUUUCCGGCGAGAAGAGAAAGAUGGGUUUUCCAUUUGAUUUUCACCGAUCUGUCGAUCCAGCAUAAGGCAACACAAAUCAACUGCUACAAGUUCAGGUGGUGAUCCGAAAUUGACCUCAUCAUCUCAGAUCAAUACUAGUGUUGGUGAAUCUACAACACCAAUACCUCCCCACGAAGGAACUUCUACUGCAACUCCGGAAGUUCUACCAAAGUCGAAGACUUCAUCUUUCCGAGCUUGAGCAUGUCAUUGCCCUCAUUCAUAUGUUGAUGUUGGUUCAUUCUUUUUGUGAUGUUUAAUCUUUUAGUGAACUUAUACAUUUUUAAUUUGUGAGGUUAGUGUUGAUGUAAUGAUGGACUUUUAUAAAUUAUGGACUCUAUAUUUUUUAACCAUUUCA